GUUUUUAUACUUUUCAAGUCGAGCGGGGAAGGUAGCUUGCUACUUAACCUAGCGGCGGACGGGUGAGUAAUGCUUAGGAAUCUGCCUAUUAGUGGGGGACAACAUCUCGAAAGGGAUGCUAAUACCGCAUACGUCCUACGGGAGAAAGCAGGGGACCUUCGGGCCUUGCGCUAAUAGAUGAGCCUAAGUCGGAUUAGCUAGUUGGUGGGGUAAAGGCCUACCAAGGCGACGAUCUGUAGCGGGUCUGAGAGGAUGAUCCGCCACACUGGGACUGAGACACGGCCCAGACUCCUACGGGAGGCAGCAGUGGGGAAUAUUGGACAAUGGGGGGAACCCUGAUCCAGCCAUGCCGCGUGUGUGAAGAAGGCCUUUUGGUUGUAAAGCACUUUAAGCGAGGAGGAGGCUACCGAGAUUAAUACUCUUGGAUAGUGGACGUUACUCGCAGAAUAAGCACCGGCUAACUCUGUGCCAGCAGCCGCGGUAAUACAGAGGGUGCAAGCGUUAAUCGGAUUUACUGGGCGUAAAGCGCGCGUAGGUGGCCAAUUAAGUCAAAUGUGAAAUCCCCGAGCUUAACUUGGGAAUUGCAUUCGAUACUGGUUGGCUAGAGUAUGGGAGAGGAUGGUAGAAUUCCAGGUGUAGCGGUGAAAUGCGUAGAGAUCUGGAGGAAUACCGAUGGCGAAGGCAGCCAUCUGGCCUAAUACUGACACUGAGGUGCGAAAGCAUGGGGAGCAAACAGGAUUAGAUACCCUGGUAGUCCAUGCCGUAAACGAUGUCUACUAGCCGUUGGGGCCUUUGAGGCUUUAGUGGCGCAGCUAACGCGAUAAGUAGACCGCCUGGGGAGUACGGUCGCAAGACUAAAACUCAAAUGAAUUGACGGGGGCCCGCACAAGCGGUGGAGCAUGUGGUUUAAUUCGAUGCAACGCGAAAAACCUUACCUGGUCUUGACAUAGUAAGAACUUUCCAGAGAUGGAUUGGUGCCUUCGGGAACUUACAUACAGG
rnacentral:rRNA from 1 species